GCCCUGGUAGUGUAGUCUGGCACAGCCAAAACUGCUGCAGCAGCUAUCAUGAAGCCUUGUCACGGCUUCGACUCGGGUUCAAAACAUUUCUCCGCAGGAGAAAUGGUUGGAUUCCGCAUUCGCUCAAUCCAACUUGCCUGCCGGGGAGCGUGAAUGUCCCGACCAGGGCG
rnacentral:tRNA from 1 species